GAUGAACGCUAGCUACAGGCUUAACACAUGCAAGUCGAGGGACCGGCGCGCGGGUGAGUAGUACGUAUCCAACCUGCCCUUUACUCGGGGAUUGCCUUUCGAAAGAAAGAUUAAUACCCGAUAUAAAGGAUGGGGAUGCGUUGUAUUAGGUGGUUGGUGAGGUAACGGCCCACCAAGCCUUCGAUGGAUGGGGGUGAUGAAGGGAAGGCACACCACAUUGGAACUGAGAUCCGGACCAAACUCCUACGCGGGGCUGGAGUAAGGAAUAUUGUUCAAUGGGCGUUAGCCUGAACCUGCCAAGUAGCGUAAAGAGUGAAGGCUUAUGGGUCGUAAACUUCUUGUAUAUAAGAAUAUGUAUUAUAUGAAUAAGGAUCGGCUAACUCCGUGCCAGCAGCCGCGGUAAUAC
rnacentral:rRNA from 1 species